UUGANCCNUUAAGGAANNGACGGAGGCUAAGUAUAAGCAAUUGUACAGUGAAACUGCGAAUGGCUCAUUAAAUCAGUUAUCGUUUAUUUGAUAGUGCCCAACCACAUGGAUAACCGUGGUAAUUCUAGAGCUAAUACAUGCGACGAACCGCGACUUCGGGAGCGGUGUAUUUAUUAGAUUAAAGACCAACGCCCUUCGGGGCUGUCCGGUGAUUCAUAAUAACUCCUCUGAUCGCACGGCCUUGCGCUGGCGACGGCUCAUUCAAAUUUCUGCCCUAUCAACUUUCGACUUUAGUGUAGUGGACUAAAGUGGUUGCAACGGGUAACGGAGGGUUAGGGCUCGACCCCGGAGAAGGAGCCUGAGAAACGGCUACUACAUCCAAGGAAGGCAGCAGGCGCGCAAAUUACCCAAUCCCGACACGGGGAGGUAGUGACAAUAAAUACUGAUACAGGGCUCUUUCGGGUCUUGUAAUCGGAAUGAGUACAAUUUAAAUCCCUUAACGAGGAACAAUUGGAGGGCAAGUCUGGUGCCAGCAGCCGCGGUAAUUCCAGCUCCAAUAGCGUAUAUUAAAGUUGUUGUGGUUAAAAAGCUCGUAGUUGAACCUGGGCCCCGCGCCCGCCGGUCCGCCUCACCGCGUGCACUGGUGUGGCCGGGGCUUCCACCUGGGGGUACGCAUGCCCUUCGCUGGGCGUGCGGGGAGCCAGGACCUUUACUGUGAAAAAAUUAGAGUGUUCAAAGCAGGCCUAUGCUCGAAUACAUUAGCAUGGAAUAAUAGAAUAGGACGUGCGGUUCUAUUUUGUUGGUUAUGGGACCGCCGUAAUGAUUAAUAGGGACAGUCGGGGGCGUCAGUAUUCGGUGGUCAGAGGUGAAAUUCUUGGACCCACCGAAGACUAACUACUGCGAAAGCAUUCGCCAAGGAUGUUUUCAUUAAUCAGGAACGAAAGUUAGGGGAUCGAAGACGAUCAGAUACCGUCGUAGUCUUAACCAUAAACUAUGCCGACUAGGGAUCGGGCGAUGUUGCUUUCUGACUCGCUCGGCACCUUUCGAGAAAUCAAAGUCUGUGGGUUCC
rnacentral:rRNA from 1 species